UACGGAGGAUGCGAGCGUUAUCCGGAUUUAUUGGGUUUAAAGGGUGCGCAGGCGGUCUGUUAAGUCAGCGGUCAAAGCCCGGGGCUCAACCCCGGCCCGCCGUUGAAACUGGCAGUCUCGAGUUGGAGAGAAGUAUGCGGAAUGCGCGGUGUAGCGGUGAAAUGCAUAGAUAUCGCGCAGAACUCCGAUUGCGAAGGCAGCCUGCUGGACUGUAACUGACGCUGAUGCUCGAAAGUGUGGGUAUCAAACAGG
rnacentral:rRNA from 1 species